CAGCCACCUUCUGUAGGUGCUGCUGCUGUUGAAGAGGAACCUCUUCAACAGCGGUUCUCUCCUAUGACCAGGAACUUGGUGCGGUGGCCAUUAUCCAACGUACUGGUGUCGUAAUACCUAAGAACGUUGUUGUUGCAUGCAUCCUUUCCUGAUGCCUUACAUUGUCAUCCUCUAUUCCUCUUCAUCUUGUUAUGUAAUAAUAGU
rnacentral:lncRNA from 1 species